CCUACGGGAGGCAGCAGUGAGGAAUAUUGGUCAAUGGGCGCUAGCCUGAACCAGCCAAGUAGCGUGAAGGAUGACUGCCCUAUGGGUUGUAAACUUCUUUUAUAAGGGAAUAAAGUGCAGUAUGUAUACUGCUUUGCAUGUACCUUAUGAAUAAGGAUCGGCUAACUCCGUGCCAGCAGCCGCGGUAAUACGGAGGAUCCGAGCGUUAUCCGGAUUUAUUGGGUUUAAAGGGAGCGUAGGAGGGUUGUUAAGUCAGUUGUGAAAGUUUGCGGCUCAACCGUAAAAUUGCAGUUGAUACUGGCAGCCUUGAGUACAGUAGAGGUAGGCGGAAUUCGUGGUGUAGCGGUGAAAUGCUUAGAUAUCACGAAGAACUCCGAUUGCGAAGGCAGCCUGCUAGACUGUAACUGACGCUGAUGCUCGAAAGUGUGGGUAUCAAACAGGAUUAGAUACCCCUGUAGUC
rnacentral:rRNA from 1 species